rnacentral:rRNA from 1 species
UGAGGAACAUGACCUUCGGCGGGGAAUAGCCGGCCCAACGGCCGGGUAAUACCGCGUACGACCACUUUGGGACAUCCCUCGGUGGUGAAAGCAGCAAUGCGCCGAUGGAGUGCCUCGCGGCCUAUCAGCUGGUUGGUGAGGUAAUGGCUCACCAAGGCGACGAUCAGUAGCUGGUCUGAGAGGAUGAUCAGCCUCACUGGGACUGAGACACCGGCACGA